rnacentral:rRNA from 1 species
AUUGAACGCUGGCGGCAGGCCUAACACAUGCAAGUCGAACGGUAACAGGAAGCAGCUUGCUGCUUCGCUGACGAGUGGCGGACGGGUGAGUAAUGUCUGGGAAACUGCCUGAUGGAGGGGGAUAACUACUGGAAACGGAAGCUAAUACCGCAUAACGUCGCAAGACCAAAGAGGGGGACCUUCGGGCCUCUUGCCAUCGGAUGUGCCCAGAUGGGAUUAGCUAGUAGGUGGGGUAACGGCUCACCUAGGCGACGAUCCCUAGCUGGUCUGAGGGGAUGACCAGCCACACUGGAACUGAGACACGGUCCAGACUCCUACGGGAGGCAGCAGUGGGGAAUAUUGCACAAUGGGCGCAAGCCUGAUGCAGCCAUGCCGCGUGUAUGAAGAAGGCCUUCGGGUUGUAAAGUACUUUCAGCGGGGAGGAAGGCGAUAAGGUUAAUAACCUUGUCGAUUGACGUUACCCGCAGAAGAAGCACCGGCUAACUCCGUGCCAGCAGCCGCAGUAA